GCCCUCUCUGCCUCUCUGCUCCACCAUCACGCGUGAUGCUCGUGGCCAGGCAGGGACCAGACCCCUCCUGGGGCGGGGGGGGCACAGGAGGAUGCGCUGAUCCUCGGCGGGCAGCAACCAACGGUCCUCACACCGGCAACGGCACCGUGAUCCACGCUGCUGUCGGCACCAGCGUCGGCAUCACUCUUGACAUCGGCACGGACAUCGGCACCGGGUUGGGCACCGACGCCGGUACCUGGAUCAACAGCGGCGUCGCCCGUCUGUGUUGGGAUCGACGACGGCAUCGCGUAUUGGGAUCAACGGCGGCACCGGCAGCCGGGUCAGCACCGGCAUCGCCGUCUCCGUCGGUACCACCAUCGCCAUCGGUACCACCAUCCCCAUCCACAUCCACACCGACAUCGACACCACCGCCGGCCCCCGCGCAGCCCAGAUCACCUUCUUUACAACUGAGACCUGGCGGAAGGGGGAAGCUACAGGAAGACAUUCCUGUCCUCACACUCCAUCCUCCUCUGGACACAUCCUGCAGACAGCAAUUAGAGGUCAUUAGCUGCCUCAGCCAGGGUCGCUCCUCCUGCUCCUGUGGCCGAGGGGACCGUGGCUCACUGUCUGCCCACCAGAGGCUCUGAGGGAAACUCCGGCCGGAGCCGGGGGGCUCCCAGCCCACAGCCUCCGUGAGCAGCACCCAGAGCAGUGAGGAGACGCAGCCAGGCCAGGCUGGAGGGCGCCCGGGUUAGCAUGACCGAGGUGGAGCCGGUGCUGGACUUCGCAUCCUCAGGGAGGACCGGACGCCGCAAUGCCCUGCCUGACAUCCUGGGCUCACCGGCAGGCGUCAGCCCCUCCGACCUGCCCCUCAAGCUGGCCGAGAUGUCCCUGAGCGCAGGCAGCUCCCAGGAGAUGCAGUCACCUUCUGCAGAAGUUCCUCCACCGCAGCCCCAAAGCCCGGAGCUGAAGGACACGUCCUAACCCUGCUGGGGGACUGAGCGGUGGGGUGAGGACGCUGCGGAGCAUCCGCAUCGCUGCCCUUGUGCCAUGCAGCGAGAGCAUCGCCUGCAGGAGAGGAGCCACGCAGGGACCUGUGGGGACAAAGGGACACUUCAUGCCCAUACAGGGCAAGGAUGGGGACGUUCACCCCACAGGAGGACACUUUUCUUCCAGAAGCAAGCGGCCAGGGGGGCUAUGCCAUGAGCAGCCCAGGGGGUCUGAGUGUUGUUCACUGUGAUGUUUUGGGUACCAUGUCCGUGUCCUGUCCUUUUUCCAGUGGGUGAUCCAAGAUCCUUAUUUUUAUUUUUAUUUUUAUUUUUUUGGAGGAAGCAUCAUUGAUGGGUUGGGGAGGAGAACCUCCUCUCAGCCAGCACCUCACCAAGGGUUCACCCCAUAGGGUGAGCACCCCAGAGUUCUCCUUGCAUCAGGGGAGCAGGGAGCUCAGCUGGGAUCGUAUUGCAAAGCCACCCUUGGGGAUGGUGACAUCUCUGCCACUCACAGCUCUGCUGCCCGCUGGAAUAGGACUUACUGCUGGGGACAAAACAUGUGGCUCAGCUCCAGAGCAUGGCCGGGGUGAGCUGCUGGAGGGAUGGAGUGGGGCACAGUGCUCAUAUCUGUCCCUGUUUCUGGGUGGUAACGGAGUGGUCACCCAUAGCUGUCACUGUGGGACCGAUGAAUGGAGUCCUAAGGCCACUCUGCUCUGAGCAGUGCUGGGAGAGGGGAAAAGCUGUGUGGGGUGGGUGGCACUGAGAGCCACAGCGUGUCCAUGGGCACGUGUGGGAGUCGGUGCUGCUGGGGGUGGGUGCUGUGUGCAUGGGUGCUCAUGUGCAGAGGUGUCCGUGCACAUGGGUGUCUGCGUGUGUGAGUGACAGUGUGCAAUAAUGCCCAUGUGCACGGGUGUCCGUGUGCGUGUGUGCCUCUGCGUGUCAGUGUCUGUAUUUGUGGGGGUUGGUGUGUGUGGGUGCUGCUGUGGGUGGGUGUCUGUGUGUGUGCACCUUUCUGCAUCAACAUGCGUGGGUGCCCAUGCACAUGGGUGUCUGUUUGCACGGAUAGCAGUGUGCAAUAACAUCUACAUGUGCGGGUGUCCAUGCAUGUGGGUGUCCGUGUGUGCGGCUGCGUGGAUGCCCAAGUGUGUGGAUGUGGAUAUCCACAUCGAUGGGUCUUCAUGCCCACGGGGGUCACUGUGUGAUAAUGUCCGUGGGCGUGGAUGACCACAUGCACCGGUGCUCAUGUGCGUGGGUGCUGCUGUAGAUGGGUGUCCGUGUCCAUGUGCAUGGAUGCCAGUGUGCAAUAAUACCCAUGUGCGUGGUUGUCCAUGUAUGUGAGUGUUCAUGUGUGUGGGUGUCCAUGUGCAUGGGUUCUCCUGUGGAUGGCUGUCCCAGUGCACAUAUAUUCAUGUGUGUGUGUGUCAAUGUGUGUGCACAUCUGUGUUCCAUGGCCCUGCUGCACCAGGGGGAUGCUGGGAGCCCCAGGGCUGUGCACAUUUGGGACUCUGAUGCCCAAGGAUGGUUCUGGGAGGAGCAGAGACAGGUGACCCCUCCAGGCCACGGCCUGUCCCCACCCUGUGACACCUGGAGGGUGUGUUAAAGGAGCACUGUGCACUCUGGGGGGUAGCUGAGUGACUCCCAGGGCCAUGGUUGGAUAAUAAACUGUGUGUGUUUCCCUGUGA